UGCCAGCCGCCGCGGUAAUACGGAGGGGGUUAGCGUUGUUCGGAAUUACUGGGCGUAAAGCGCGCGUAGGCGGAUUAGUAAGUUAGGGGUGAAAUCCCAGGGCUCAACCCUGGAACUGCCUCUAAUACUGCUAGUCUUGAGUUCGAGAGAGGUGAGUGGAAUUCCGAGUGUAGAGGUGAGAUUCGUAGAUAUUCGGAGGAACACCAGUGGCGAAGGCGACUCACUGGCUCGAUACUGACGCUGAGGUACGAAAGUGUGGGGAGCAAACAGGAUUAGAUA
rnacentral:rRNA from 1 species